GAGUUCAGGAAGAAGCAGGGGAAGAGCCAUCUGAGCUCCAACCUGCUGUACUUCCUGGGACGGGCUUCAGAGCUACAGACUCCGACACUAUGAAGAUCGUCAACCAGAAUUCGGGCCGGCAGUCUCGCCACCGUCCGGACCGCACGGUCAAGAAAGCCUCCGGGGAGAAGUCUGUGUUCACAGAGGAUGAGUUCGAACAGUUCCAGAAGGAAUACUUUGGCAGAACUGUGGAGGAGGGUAACUAGACAGAUUCUAGUUCCAGAGACUUAAGGCUGCAUUCCAAUUCCAGAGGUGUGCGCUUCACACUCCUUGCCAUGGAUUGCUAAUUUCACCAUUAUUAAAGGUCCAAUGCAGCUGUAUUUCAAUAUCGACUAUUUUAUGGGUCACAAUUAAGUAUCUUACUGUGAUUGUUCAUUUUUGACCGUGUUAUUUAAAAACAAAAAUACCUUCAUAGCAAAGAGCAAUUUCUCAAACAAUUAUCUUCCCAUGCCUGUCUGGGAGUGGUCUGAGUGGGGAGGGAGAAAACCAACUGUUAUUGGCAGAGAGGUUGGAACUCUCUUAUUUACCUCCUGGUUAUGUCUCCAGGCAGGCCAAAACUCCAUCUCAUCAAAACAGGCUGACAUUUUAGGCAGUCUUUUCAAACGGCUUACUCUAACAGGGCAUUUUCACAGUAUUAUUCCAACCUCCUAGGAGAGGGGGGGGGGACAGUAAAAUCACAUUUUGGACUGCACUGGGCCUUUUAAAUCCAUGGGAGAAUGUGGGUUCAGGGUUCAGUUCCAGAGCCAAUGAGGACUUGGUAAAGAGAUCGGACACUUGACCGACUUUAGUUUUUGUCCAAAGACUUGGAAUGUGAUAUGGACAACAUGUGACUGUUAAGUGGCCUUGAGGCUCAUUCCCAACUUCUUCUAUUCUAUUCAUGCAGGAGAAAAUAGUCACCUUUCAGAGAAACAAAAGUAUUGUUUAAAACUUCAUUUUAUACUUGUCUUCAAAUCGAUUUUCAGAUAAUUUCUUGUUUCCUUGUGUUGAAAAGAUGAAAGCACAAUGAACUAGAGGAUGCUGUUUUAUUAGGUGAAUUUUCCCUUUGAUUUGUAAACAGUGAAUAAAAGUAUGUAGAACACUGUCAUGAAGCCUACACAAACUGAAGCAGCAGUAGGGGUGUGACGGUCAUGACAUUUGUGUUAGCCGUUAACUGUCGUGCAAAUCAUUGUGCUGUCACAGUUCUUUACCAUGAACAUAAACAUGUGUUGUAUCUCCA